CCUACGGGAGGCUGCAGUGAGGAAUAUUGGUCAAUGGGCGCGAGCCUGAACCAGCCAAGUAGCGUGAAGGAUGACUGCCCUACGGGUUGUAAACUUCUUUUAUAAAGGAAUAAAGUGAGGCACGUGUGCCUUUUUGUAUGUACUUUAUGAAUAAGGAUCGGCUAACUCCGUGCCAGCAGCCGCGGUAAUACGGAGGAUCCGAGCGUUAUCCGGAUUUAUUGGGUUUAAAGGGAGCGUAGAUGGGUUGUUAAGUCAGUUGUGAAAGUUUGGGGCUCAACCGUAAAAUUGCAUUUGAUACUGGCAGUCUUGAGUGUAGUUGAGGUAGGCGGAAUUCGUGGUGUAGCGGUGAAAUGCUUAGAUAUCACGAAGAACACCGAUGGCGAAGGCAGCUUACUGGAC
rnacentral:rRNA from 1 species